rnacentral:lncRNA from 1 species
AGGAAAUAAGUGAAAAAGGUAAGAUUUAGGUUGUUUAAUGUGUAUAAUAUGUUAAUUAAGCUUUAAUUUUAGUUUUUAUGAAUGUUAGGGUUUUGAGAAUUUGUGUUUGAUUUAAAUUGAUGAAUUAAAUUGAAGGUUAGGGGUUGAUUGUUGUGUUUAAUUGAUGAUUUAGUUGAUUAUGGAAGAUUAUGAUGAUUUUGAGUUAUAAAAUUGUGUAAAUGGUGAAAAUUGAGUUAGAAAUCAG